rnacentral:rRNA from 1 species
AGUGAACGCUGGCGGCGUGCCUAAUACAUGCAAGUCGAACGGAGUGGCGCACGGGGGAGUAAUGUAUAGCUAAUCUGCCCUACACUAGAGGACAACAGUUGGAAACGACUGCUAAUACUCUAUAGUGUAGGAGGGGGCUAAUUUGUAUCAGCUAGUUGGUGAGGUAAUGGCUAACCAAGGCUAUGACGCAUAACUGGUCUGAGAGGUUGAUCAGUAACACGUGAACUGAGAGAUGGUCCAGAAUCCUUCGGGAGGCAGCAGUAGUGAACGUUGCUCAAUGGGGGAAGCACUGAAGCAGCGAAGCCGGGUGGAGGAUGACAAUAUUCGGAGCGUAGACUCUAUCUGGUAGGUAAACGGAACCUAACCAAUAAGCGCCGGCUAACUCCGUGCCAGCAGCCGCGGUAAUAC